GAAAGUUAAUUCUACGUGGUCCAUGGUCUGGAGGGACGAUAGUGAAAAAUAAAUCUCUAGACGUAAUUAGGUCAAAUAUUUUGAGAUUCAACAGUGCCUCACGUGGUUUGGUCAUCAUUGUCGAUGGACCAAACGGAAUGGUAUUGGAUUGCGUGUGCGUGUCGGGGACGGGAAUGGGAAGUUGAUUUAGACUGGAAAUAAAUACAGCAAAGAAUCCCAGGAAGUCGUGCCGACUCUUUUGUAAGUCGAACGUCGCUGAAGAAAUUUAGUAAUGGAAGGAUGAAGGUACAUUUUAACUUGUACCAGGUUACUGUACCCUGUAGCGAAGCCGAACGAACACGAGUACUCACGAUAUUGCACGAGUGUGACGUGAAACUGAGCGAAUUGGAAUAGACGAAUAGAGGGAACGACAGGAAUGGGACUGCUGAAUCGAACAAUGGUUGAAACAUUCUGACGCAAUUGCUUUUCGCGAGUACGAGUCGUGCAAAAAUAUUUGCCGAGGUCUCGCGAGACGUCGACGCCAAGCGUCGCUUUUUCAAGUACGCCAGCCAUGGAAGGACAGUCUCUUUGGAAAUUUUGAAGCAUCGAAUUCCCCAUAUGGCACUCCCAGCGUAUUUUCCGUAAGAUCAGAGAAAAUGGUUUGUAAAAAAAAAAAUUUAUUUUCCAUUCAUAACAUUUCCUAUCGAGACACCGUUCCAUCUCCGGUGUGGACGAACCCUUUUAUCCUUACGUUACUAUUUGUCCGUAAGAAAAAUUCGAAAAAUUCCUCGCAGAGUUAAUCGAGAAAUUAAAAAAAAUUUCUAUGUAUGCAGAUAUACAUAUAGUCUACGUUUGUAGGACUGGAAGUAUUUAUAAAAUUUCAAAUUUUUUUUCGCCUGUUUUUUUUUUAUGAUUUCCGGUAACACCGGUCGGUAUGAAUAAUUCGAAAUGAAUAAUUUUCGAUUUGAAUGUAACGUUGAGAAUAUUUCGAAUUCUUGACGUUGGCAUUACCAUAACGCUCGAGUGUCUAUUUGCGGUUGGCAGUAAUGCCGCGCUACAAUUCGAAUCUCUGCUUGGCAUUGUCUUCAAUUAAUUUGCCUUGCGAAUCGGAAGAGAGCGAGAGAGAGAUCUAGAGGGCUUAGAAGAGGCAACAGAGCGAAAGAGAGGGAACGCUCCAUAGCCCGGUAAUAUAAUUCCUCUUAAAUACUAUAAAAUAGAGACUAAUUACACUUCUUUACGAACAAAAGAUCAUUUAUUUUCAUUAGCGUCCCCCGACUGCCACCCUACAACGACGGUAAUAGCCAAAUUUCAAAAAGUCCGUAAAAUCGUUAUUCGAUCAAAGACACAGAUGCACUUUAUAAAAUUUAUAGUUAUAAAUAAAUUCGUAAAAAUUAAACAAUUGAAACAAUAAAUGGUCUACCUGUCCAAUGAGUUCGAAUCGUUGAAUAAAAAAUUUCAUGUAAUACGUAAUUUGAAUUAUUAACCUUGAGAAUCUCGUUCCUUAUCCGUACACUUUGACAAUUAACUGUCACCGUGAAAGAUGCCACUACAAGUUUACCACAAUUAUGGAUAUAAAGUGACGUAGGCAAUGGUAAUGGGAACCCAGGCAUAAUAUCCUUGUGGUUACAAAUGUUAGAUCAUUAAUAUUCCGCAUAUCUGCGCGGCAGCAGCGUCGGCGGCGGGAACACUAGCGCCGCCAGUGGCGGCCGGGUUAAACUAAAUGAAGGUUUG